UCUUUUUGUCUUGUUUAUGAUCUUAAAUGGUCAUAUUCUUAUUGCUGGAGAAUUUGGCUUGUAAAUUAUUGUCUGAUUCUUCAUCUAAUUGUUGUGAUAGGGAGCAACAUGGGAUCCAAAUGGCUGUAUGGUACUUCUUUCUUUUUCGGAGUCAUCACCAUUAUGUUCCAUUCAUUUUACAUCCAAACCUCCGUCACUAGCCUUUACAUGGUUGGUGUUCGUAUUGGAGAGACGACUUGAUGUUGGAGGCUUGGAGCAUUAUCUAUAAGAAGAAGUUGCAAAUUUGCUUUUAUUAUGUUGUAUUUGAUUCAAGACUUGUUAGUUUUUGAAUUUUUGAUGCCUUUAGACUAUUUGAAUGUGCAUUUUCGAGUCUAAUCGAUGUUUUGGAUAUCUAAGACUUGUUAUAAUUGAUUUGUAGAAGUACUUCUCGUAAUGAAAUGCUUUGUAAUUUUAUUCAA